rnacentral:rRNA from 1 species
CCUACGGGGAGCUGCAGUCGAGAAUUAUUCACAAUGGGGGAAACCCUGAUGGUGCGACGCCGCGUGGGGGAAUGAAGGUCUUCGGAUUGUAAACCCCUGUCAUGUGGGAGCAAAUUAAAAAGAUAGUACCACAAGAGGAAGAGACGGCUAACUCUGUGCCAGCAGCCGCGGUAAUACAGAGGUCUCAAGCGUUGUUCGGAAUCACUGGGCGUAAAGCGUGCGUAGGCUGUUUCGUAAGUCGUGUGUGAAAGGCGCGGGCUCAACCCGCGGACGGCACAUGAUACUGCGAGACUAGAGUAAUGGAGGGGGAACCGGAAUUCUCGGUGUAGCAGUGAAAUGCGUAGAUAUCGAGAGGAACACUCGUGGCGAAGGCGGGUUCCUGGACAUUAACUGACGCUGAGGCACGAAGGCCAGGGGAGCGAACAGGAUUAGAUACCCUUGUAGUC